AGAAGCUGAAACUAUGCAACCGGAGCUGAUUCUUGCUGCAGCAGAGACAGGGGAGAUAGUAGAUGCCUGAGAAUUUGUACAAGGGCAGUUUAGAUGAUUGAGAAGUUGAAUAAAUAAAGAGAAAAUGAGGACACUAAAUAGGGAUGAAUGAGAUUUAUGUUGAUAUGAUGGAUUUGGAGGGAUUGGGAUUCGAUUUCUUGUUCAUGGGCUUUGAUUAAAAGUAAAAGUAAUGGGUAGUUUUUUUCUUCCAAGUUGCUAGCCAUAUGAACCAAAGACAAUGAUGAAUAAGUCAAAAUUCAAUGGGAUGAAAUCAAAAGACCAGCCCGACUCGAAUCUCUGGUUGUGUAAUCCUGAUAAAUUCAUGGCAGAGGCAGAGUGACUAUAACUGAUAAAUUCAUCCAAUUGCCAUUCCUUUCCUGCCCAUCUCCCAUACCAAAUCUCAACUUGAUUCCGGGUUUGAAUCCAAAAAUCUCAACUUCCGUUCCAAAAUUGUCCUUAAAAAAUAUAUAUUUUUGUUUAAAUACCAAGUUA
rnacentral:lncRNA from 1 species